UAACACCGGCAACCUGAGUGGUGGCCACGAUUAUUGGGCCUAAAGCGUCCGUAGCCGGACAGACAAGUUUUUAGAUAAAUCCGGGAGCUUAACUUUCGGAAUUCUAGAAAUACUAUCUGUCUUGGAGCCGGGAGGAGGUACGAGUACUCCGAGGGUAGAAGUGAAAUUCUCUGAUCCUUGGGGGACUGCCUGUGGUGAAGACGCGUACCUAGAACGGACUCGACGGUGAGGGACGAAGCCCUGGGGAGCGAACGGAAUUAGAUACUCCGGUAGUCCAGGGAGUAAACGAUGCCCGCUUGGUGUCGCACAACCUUCGCGGUUGUGCGGUGCCGUAAUGGAGAUGUUUAGCGGGCCGCCUGGGAAGUACGGUCGCAAGACAG
rnacentral:rRNA from 1 species